UGAUAGUGGCUGUUGUCUGUAAAGAAUUGAUAAAAGGACGCAUGACAUGCAACAGCAAAGGAAUGUUACAUUAGAAGGCAGGAGAAGGUGCCUUACCAUCUAACCAAACUAUGAUAAUUGGACAAAUGAAACAAUUGAGCUUAAACUGAUAUGGAUUCAGAUGAGUGGAAUCAGAUGAUCAGCUGCAGGGAACAGAAGAAAAAUCCAGAUUCCAACUGCCCUUGGACAAGCUAAUUGCAAAUUUCAGUGGAAACAAAGACACAGCCAUAUCCAACUGAUCUCAAUGUGAUUGUUUCCAAUUUGGAAGUCUCUUUAGCUCUGGUGUUUACAAAGAGAGGAGGUGGUUGGUUGGGGGAUGGGGAGAUGCGUGGUGGGAAUGACUCUUAAUCGGCAAAAGCUUUGGACAAGGGCUGACAUCAUUCUGUAUUUCCAUUGCUAACACAAAUACUUCCUUUGCUGCUCCAGUUCUUAUAACUCUGUGUGUGUUAUUUUAACAUCACUGCAUUUCUGUACAGUACAGGGUUGGAAACCAAGGUUGAAAUUAAAAUUAAAAUUUGAGUG